rnacentral:rRNA from 1 species
UACGGAGGUGGCAAGCGUUGUUCGGAAUUACUGGGCGUAAAGGGCGCGUAGGCGGCUUGGUCAGUCCCGUGUGAAAUCCCCAGGCUUAACCUGGGAACUGCAUCCGAUACUGGAUGGCUUGAAUCCGGGAGAGGGAUGCAGAAUUCCAGGUGUAGCGGUGAAAUGCGUAGAUAUCUGGAGGAAUACCGGUGGCGAAGGCGGCAUCCUGGACCGGCAUUGACGCUGAUGAGCGAAAGCUAGGGGAGCAAACGGG